AUCCGUCAAUCACGUCCAGUUUACGCAGCGAUCGGAGGUACAAACAAGGUGCAACAGCGUCAAAGUCUCCCAGAGGAGACCGUCUGAAAAUGUGCUCCGUUAUCCACAUUUCUACGAUUAUCGCGGUGGUUAGAGAGGUCAAGAGUCGGUCCCCAGGGCCGACAACACGGCGUCUUUGGAGCAGGAUGAAUAAUAACUUUUCCCUUCUUCAACCACCCUCUCCACCUUCCACCUCUUCCACAUCUAUCACCACGUCAAACCGGUCUGUCCUGGUCUUUGGCUGCCAGCUGCUUCCUGAAGCUCCGACACUGACAGCCUUUAUGCCCUGUGGAUUUUGUGGCUUUAAGGCUUUGCCGCUCGGUGCCCACGGAGAGUUCUUGGAAGGCCGGGGAUCCACAAAUCCUCCCGGCCGCCUCAAGCCUUCGGCCCACGCCGCAGAACAGUAAACCUGGCAGAGGCCGAGACCAGACUGUGGUCAGCUCCAACCCUCAGAGCUGGAGUCAGGACUCCCCUCUGUGUCAGGGCAGUAAACAGAGAGCUACAUGAAAACCCGCUGCACAAAGACACUGUCACAGACAGGGGGUCACGCGUCGAUCCCAUAUGACUGUAUGUCAAGUUACGAUAACAGUGUCCUCACCGGAGAAGACGACGCACCGACUCCCACCUCCUCACGUGGGGACAACAGCAACCCCCAGGCGUCCACGCAGGGGCAAUGACGGACCAGGACUGACGGCCGGCGGCUGAUGACAUUUUUAUCGGUCACCAGGAACGUGAUCAUCCCGGCACCGGCUCCGUAUCGUCCGUCCUCAACCGUCGCCUCAAAACACGACGGGCUUCUUCCUCUGCCCGGCUCCGCGUGGGAGCCGUCGGCAGGCCUGCGCUUCACCAAGAGCAUUUCAUCUGCAGCGGCGAGGCUCCAGGAUUCCAAACAUUUGUGUCGGGCGGAGAGCACGGCCGGUCGUGUGUAACGGCCUCUGAGCUGUUGCCGAUGCCGCUUUCACAACGAGCUCCGCUGGGAACCGCUACCUUUCACUUUCUGCUCCAAACCCUGAGAACGUUUAAAUGUAACUCUCUUCU